GAUGAACGCUGGCGGCGUGCCUAAUACAUGCAAGUCGAGCGAACGGACGAGAAGCUUGCUUCUCUGAUGUUAGCGGCGGACGGGUGAGUAACACGUGGAUAACCUACCUAUAAGACUGGGAUAACUUCGGGAAACCGGAGCUAAUACCGGAUAAUAUUUUGAACCGCAUGGUUCAAAAGUGAAAGACGGUCUUGCUGUCACUUAUAGAUGGAUCCGCGCUGCAUUAGCUAGUUGGUAAGGUAACGGCUUACCAAGGCAACGAUGCAUAGCCGACCUGAGAGGGUGAUCGGCCACACUGGAACUGAGACACGGUCCAGACUCCUACGGGAGGCAGCAGUAGGGAAUCUUCCGCAAUGGGCGAAAGCCUGACGGGGCAACGCCGCGUGAGUGAUGAAGGUCUUCGGAUCGUAAAACUCUGUUAUUAGGGAAGGACAUAUGUGUAAGUAACUGUGCACAUCUUGACGGUACCUAAUCAGAAAGCCACGGCUAACUACGUG
rnacentral:rRNA from 1 species